ACAUACAUACAUACAUACAUACAUACAUAUAUAGAGAGAGAGAGAGAGAGAGAGAGAGAUCGUAUGAAUGUUAUAUUUUGAUGACGUACAUAUUCUCUAUCUCUCUAAGCUCGCCAACUCUUUUUCUACACGCGAAAUAUGAAAAAAAAAGAGAGAAAAAAGAAGUAAAAGAGAAGAAAAAGACGAAGAAAAAAAAAA